rnacentral:tRNA from 1 species
GCCGGGGUAGCUCAGCUCGGUAGAGCGCCGGGCUGUUAAAACCCGGUGGUCCGGGGUUCGAGUCCCCGCCCCGGCG